AUGCGGCGGUGCCGGGGCGCAGGGCUGGCGGGGCUGGCCGCGGUGCUCCUGGUGGCUGUGGGCAGAGCCCAGGUGCAGCAGGAGCCGUCGGCAGAGACCUCCGAGGGCACCGGCAUCAACAUCAACUGCUCACACCCCAACAGAAAGGCUUACGACUUCAUCUACUGGUACCGUCAGCUCCCGGGCCGAGGCCCCGCAUUCCUCGUGAGCGCUCUUAAAGAGUCCAAAGAGGUGCCGGACCCGCCGGGGCGGCUGUGGGUGGCGGCAGACCGCCGGUCCAGCGCCCUGUGGCUCGCCCGGCCCCGGCGCGGGGACGCGGCGGUGUAUUACUGCGCCUUGCAAGCAUCAGGACCCUCGUGCUGGCAGGUCCUUGGGCACCCCACGAAGGAAGAG